rnacentral:lncRNA from 1 species
CAUGAUCAACUUGCGGGAGAAGUGAUCUACCUUGUUCUCGAUUUUGAGGGUGAUUAGUAACUUGGCUCAUGGCAUUUUGUGGUGAACUUGGAGGGUUGAAUUUUGUAGGUAAAGUCUUAGGGCCAAUGGUGACAAAAGGGUUUUGGUCAUGACCACUUGAGGAAACAUGGAGUCGAGGGGUAGAAGCACGGGAGUUCCUUCGACUCUCC